UACGUAGGGCGCAAGCGUUAUCCGGAAUUAUUGGGCGUAAAGAGCUCGUAGGUGGUUUGUCGCGUCUGCCGUGAAAGUCCGGGGCUCAACUCCGGAUCUGCGGUGGGUACGGGCAGACUAGAGUGAUGUAGGGGAGACUGGAAUUCCUGGUGUAGCGGUGAAAUGCGCAGAUAUCUGGAGGAAUACCGGUGGCGAAGGCGGCAUCCUGGACCGAGAUUGACGCUGAGGAGCGAAAGCUAGGGGGAGCAAACGGG
rnacentral:rRNA from 1 species